rnacentral:tRNA from 13 species
GGGUGGGGGCCAUGGACUUCAAAUCCC